rnacentral:rRNA from 1 species
GAGAGGCGCGGUUGGUCAAAUUGCGGGCUAUAUCCUCUUUGUAGGCAAACUGAGCAAUCAAUGAGCCACCUAUUCUUCAAGUGUCAGUUCACCUUGAGGCUUUGGGGCAUGAUCAGGGCUUGGCUCAACCUCGUCCACGCUGAUACUUCUCGUUGGAUGGAUGAGCAUUCCAUCAAGGAUUGGUGGAUUACUAUGUCUGAGAAGAAUACGGGGAUUCGGAAGGCGAUGGCGUCCAUCACCAUGCUAUCUUGUCGGACGAUUUGGUGUGAACGGAACGCCUGGGUAUUUCGGCACAAGUCCACGGUUCCGUCUAUCAUCUUCUCCAACAUCAAAAGCGAUGCCACACUUUGGGUCACUACCGCGUGA